GACGAACGCUGGCGGCGUGCUUAACACAUGCAAGUCGAACGAAGUGGCGAACGGGUGGGUAAAGCGUAAUCAACCUGCCCCUCCGAGGGGGACAACAGUUGGAAACGACUGCUAAUACCGCAUAAGGAAGGAGGUGAUUGGGUCUGAUAAGCUUGUUGGAGGGGUAACGGCCCACCAAGGCGAUGAUCAGUAGCCGGUCCUGGAGGAUUAACGGCCACAUAGGGACUGAGACCCGGCCCAAACGUCCUCCGGGAGCAACAGUGGGGAAUUUUCGUAAAUGGAAGAAAGUCUGACGGUGCACCGCCGCGUGGUUGAGGACGGCCUUCGGGUUUUAAAGCUCCGUUAAUCGGGACGCGGUACCGGAAUAAGAAGCCUCGGCUAACUACGUGCCAGCAGCCGCGGUAAUAC
rnacentral:rRNA from 1 species